GAGUUUGAUCAUGGCUCAGAACGAACGCUGGCGGCGCGUCUUAAGCAUGCAAGUCGAACGGUAAGGGAGAGCUUGCUCUCCCCUAGAGUGGCGGACUGGUGAGUAACGCGUGGGUGACCUGCCCUGAAGAUGGGGAUAGCUAGUAGAAAUAUUAGAUAAUACCGAAUGUGCUCAUUUACAUAAAGGUAAAUGAGGAAAGGAGCUACGGCUCCGCUUCAGGAUGGGCCCGCGUCCCAUUAGCUGGUUGGUGAGGUAAAGGCCCACCAAGGCAACGAUGGGUAUCCGGCCUGAGAGGGUGAACGGACACAUUGGGACUGAGAUACGGCCCAAACUCCUACGGGAGGCAGCAGCUAAGAAUCUUCCGCAAUGGACGAAAGUCUGAUCGGAGCGACGCCGUGUGAAUGAAGAAGGCUGAAAGGUUGUAAAAUUCUUUUGCAGAUGAAGAAUAAACACCAGGAGGGAAUGCCCUGUGAGAUGA
rnacentral:rRNA from 1 species